GACGAACGCUGGCGGCGUGCCUAAUACAUGCAAGUAGGACGCAGGUGCGAACGUGUGAGUAACGCGUAGGCAACGGCCUAUUUGAGGGGGAUAACUAUUGGAAACGAUAGCUAAUACCGCAUACCAUUAGAUGGACCUGCGUGGUAUUAGCUAGUAGGUAGGGUAAUGGCCUACCUAGGCGACGAUACAUAGCCGACCUGAGAGGGUGAUCUGCCACACUGGGACUGAGACACGGCCCAGACUCCUACGGGAGGCAGCAGUGGGGAAUCUUCGGCAAUGGGGGGAAGCCUGACCGAGCCAUGCCGCGUGAGUGAAGAAGGUUUUCGGAUCGUAAAGCUCUGUGGUUAAGGAAGCGUUACUAAACCAGAAAGGGCCGGCUAACUCCGUGCCAGCAGCGGCGGUAAAC
rnacentral:rRNA from 1 species